CCUCCUUUGUGACCUACUUUGCACAGUGAGAUUACGUUUUUCCGCAUUGGAUGCACGUGUCGACCAUCGCUGUGCAACGCCUGCUCCUCCACUUUUCUUCUCCAUUUUUCCCUUCCGUUUUCAUUUUUCCCACGCGUCGAUCAUCGAUGGACCUGCUUUCGCGUCUCUCUCUCUCGCUGUUCUCAGUUCCGCUAUUCUAAACUCUAGCUUCGUGUCUCCAAAACGGCGAAUUUUCUCGCCCUCCAACCUUCCAUCUUUCUCUCAGGAAUUAUCGACAACGGUGCAAUUAGAUCCGAUUCAAUUUUUUACCCAGAAACGUUGGCGUUUCCUGGCUUGGAUCCUCCUCCUCCUUCUCUUCCUCACCCAAACCAGCAGCCCCACCUUCGCUUGAUACUGACGGAAACACCACGAAUUGAGGCGCAACACCAAUACUGUAACAAUUAUAAGAAAAGAGCUCCAAACCCGCAAAGUAGGGGAAAAUGGAAUAAGGCAAUUGAAUGAGCGGUUUGUACAGUAGCUAAGUGCAUAAAAAAGUAGGAUUACAAAUAAAUAGCAGCAUGUGAACUAAAUACAAAACAAUCAAGAUUGAACUUGAUCUGCAGCAGCCGCAUCCUCUGAGGAAUCCGUGUUGGAACAGAACUGUAUUUGUGCAGAUCUUGCAAACGUAUUUGAAGUGUUGUUGCCACAACUUCUGUUGUAUCCCAAUCCUUCUGACGCUUUAAACGGAGAGGCUGCAGCUUUAAUGAUGUGUUACCAAGCUGCUUAUGAACAAAGAGUUAAAGCAAUUGUCAUUGGACGUGUGUUCGAGCCACAGGUUUUCCCAAAAUUAGAUCGUUUCUAAUUCCGUUCUGCAAUCAUGUUGUGUUUGUCUGUUUUUAAUUGUUGGUGCAAGCUUGAAGGAGAUUGUGAAAAAUUGGACUGACUCCUCCAACAAAGCUAUCAACCGCCUCCUUGCCCAAGGUGGUACAAUAGUUCUAUCCGAUCAUGGUCGCUAUUUUUCAAAGGAUGCUGUGGAAUUUCAAGAUUGAAAACCGAUGGCUUUCAAUCUUUUAAAACAAAUUACCUUUGUAAGGUAUCAAAACUAUAAUUUUUCUAUAGCAAAUAAAAUUCUUUCCUUCACUAUGGUAAUUUUGUUUA